rnacentral:rRNA from 1 species
UACGUAGGGGGCUAGCGUUGUCCGGAUUUAUUGGGCGUAAAGAGCGUGUAGGCGGCCUGGUAGGUCUGCUGUGAAAACUCGAGGCUCAACCUCGAGAUGUCGGCGGAAACCAUCUGGCUAGAGUCCGGAAGAGGAGAGUGGAAUUCCUGGUGUAGCGGUGAAAUGCGCAGAUAUCAGGAAGAACACCUAUGGCGAAGGCAGCUCUCUGGGACGGUACUGACGCUGAGACGCGAAAGCGUGGGGAGCAAACAGG